GUGGGGAAUAUUGCACAAUGGGCGAAAGCCUGAUGCAGCGACGCCGCGUGCGGGAUGAAGGCCUUCGGGUUGUAAACCGCUUUUAAUUGGGAGCAAGCGAGAGUGAGUGUACCUUUUGAAUAAGCACCGGCUAACUACGUGCCAGCAGCCGCGGUAAUACGUAGGGUGCAAGCGUUAUCCGGAAUUAUUGGGCGUAAAGAGCUCGUAGGCGGUUUGUCACGCCUGGUGUGAAAGUCCAUCGCUUAACGGUGGAUCUGCGCCGGGUACGGGCAGGCUAGAGUGCAGUAGGGGAGAUUGGAAUUCCCGGUGUAACGGUGGAAUGUGUAGAUAUCGGGAGAACACCAAUGGCGAAGGCAGAUCUCUGGGCUGUUACUGACG
rnacentral:rRNA from 1 species